rnacentral:rRNA from 1 species
AGCGAACGCUGGCGGCAGGCCUAACACAUGCAAGUCGAGCGCCCCGCAAGGGGAGCGGCAGACGGGAGAGUAACACGUGGGAACGUACCCCUCAGUUCGGAACAACCCAGGGAAACUUGGGCUAAUACCGAAUACGUCCGUAAGGAGUAAGAUUUAUCGCGGAAGGAUCGGCCCGCGUCCGAUUAGCUAGUUGGGGAGGUAACGGCUCACCAAGGCGACGAUCGGUAGCUGGUCUGCGAGGAUGAUCAGCCUCACUGGGACUGAGACACGGCCCAGACUCCUACGGGAGGCAGCAGUGGGGAAUAUUGGACAAUGGGCGCAAGCCUGAUCCAGCCAUGCCGCGUGGAUGAUGAAGGCCCUAGGGUUGUAAAGUCCUUUCGGCGGGGAAGAUAAUGACGGUACCCGCAGAAGAAGCCCCGGCUAACUUCGUGCCAGCCGCCGCAGUAA